CGGAACGGGUGAGUAAUGCGUGACCAACCUGCCCCAUGCUCCAGAAUAGCUCUUGGAAACGGGUGGUAAUGCUGGAUGCUCCAACUUGACGCAUGUCUUGUUGGGAAAGUGUUUAGUGGCAUGGGAUGGGGUCGCGUCCUAUCAGCUUGUAGGCGGGGUAAUGGCCCACCUAGGCUUCGACGGGUAGCCGGCCUGAGAGGGCGGACGGCCACAUUGGGACUGAGAUACGGCCCAGACUCCUACGGGAGGCAGCAGNG
rnacentral:rRNA from 1 species